UGUCAGUAUGCCUGUCAGUAUGUGUCAGUAUGCCUGUCAGUGUAUGUGUCAGUAUGUCUGUCAGUGUAUAUGUCAGUAUGUCUGUCAGUGUAUGUGUCAGUAUGUGUGCCAGUAUGCCUGUCAGUGUGUGUGUCAGUAUGUCUGUCAGUGUGUGUGUCAGUGUAUAUGUCAGUAUGCCUGUCAGUGUAUGUGUCAGUAUGUGU